AAGAGCUGGCAGAGGAGGGCUGGCCGUGAGCUUUGUUACACAGAUGACUCUGGAAGAGAGCAAAGAGGCAGAUACUAGUACUGGUAGAGAAACUCACAGAAUCUCUAGAGGAAUUCAUGACAAGGUGGGUUGAUCCUCUUGAGGCCUGAUCAUGGUGGCCCACUCCGGUUUGCAGCAGCUGCAGCGUUUCUUAGUAAAUUAUACAAAGACUAUCUUGGUAUUAUUAGGAGUUAUGGAGGGAGUCGUGGUUCCCAGUCAUUUUCCAUGGUGUCCUUUGUUGAUAAUGUGGGUUUGAAGCUCAUCAUGUUGUGUGCAUGAUAUCCAAUCUGUCCAUCACAUUCGCCACCACAUUUUCUUCUUAUAUCCCAAAACUCAGGCCCAUUCAAGACUU